AUUAGAGUUUGAUCCUGGCUCAGAUUGAACGCUGGCGGCAGGCUUAACACAUGCAAGUCGAGCGGAGAGAGGUAGCUUGCUACUGAUCUUAGCGGCGGACGGGUGAGUAAUGCUUAGGAAUCUGCCUAUUAGUGGGGGACAACAUUUCGAAAGGAAUGCUAAUACCGCAUACGUCCUACGGGAGAAAGCAGGGGAUCUUCGGACCUUGCGCUAAUAGAUGAGCCUAAGUCGGAUUAGCUAGUUGGUGGGGUAAAGGCCUACCAAGGCGACGAUCUGUAGCGGGUCUGAGAGGAUGAUCCGCCACACUGGGACUGAGACACGGCCCAGACUCCUACGGGAGGCAGCAGUGGGGAAUAUUGGACAAUGGGCGCAAGCCUGAUCCAGCCAUGCCGCGUGUGUGAAGAAGGCCUUAUGGUUGUAAAGCACUUUAAGCGAGGAGGAGGCUACUUUAGUUAAUACCUAGAGAUAGUGGACGUUACUCGCAGAAUAAGCACCGGCUAACUCUGUGCCAGCAGCCGCGGUAAUACAGAGGGUGCAAGCGUUAAUCGGAUUUACUGGGCGUAAAGCGCGCGUAGGCGGCUAAUUAAGUCAAAUGUGAAAUCCCCGAGCUUAACUUGGGAAUUGCAUUCGAUACUGGUUAGCUAGAGUGUGGGAGAGGAUGGUAGAAUUCCAGGUGUAGCGGUGAAAUGCGUAGAGAUCUGGAGGAAUACCGAUGGCGAAGGCAGCCAUCUGGCCUAACACUGACGCUGAGGUGCGAAAGCAUGGGGAGCAAACAGGAUUAGAUACCCUGGUAGUCCAUGCCGUAAACGAUGUCUACUAGCCGUUGGGGCCUUUGAGGCUUUAGUGGCGCAGCUAACGCGAUAAGUAGACCGCCUGGGGGAGUACGGUCGCAAGACUAAAACUCAAAUGAAUUGAC
rnacentral:rRNA from 1 species